GUCUCCGCAAAAUUUUGAUUCGGUCCUGGAUGUGUUAUUGGAGGUGGUUUUUAUGAAGAAACUUGUCGUCACUUGAAGGAUUUUGGAAGUUUUACUGCUUCUUGGAACAAUAGACCCUUGUGGUUCGGCCCUUCUACGGAGCGUUAGUGCAUUAGACUGCUGUUUUACUGCCUGUUGGAACAGUUUGAUGCACUGACUUAAGUUAUGAAUCACCGGCAAGAGAAAUUUGUGAGGUUUCAGGAUUGGAACUCAGAGAAAAGCUCAGAGGGGAAUUUUCCAUAUAAAGAUGGAGCACACAGGGGCAGAUUUGGAGUGUUCUCCAAUGAAUUACACAAAUCCCUGGAAAGUGGUUCUGGAAGGAUUAAAAGCAUAAUACAUGCCUUAAGUUCUUGUUUAAGUUGCCUUUUGGUCAAAAGUUUGGGAUCAGAAAAAAAGAUGCUUGAUCCUCAAGGACCUUUUCUUCAGAAGUGGAACAAAAUAUUUGUAUUAUCUUGUGUAAUUGCCAUCUCCUUGGAUCCUUUGUUCUUUUACAUUCCAGUGAUUGAUAAUAACAACAAAUGCCUACAUUUGGAUAGAAAAAUGGAGGUCACAGCUAGUGUUUUGCGUUCCAUCACUGAUAUCUUUUACCUUUUCCAUAUUGUGCUUCAAUUUCGUACUGGUUUCAUUGCCCCUUCAUCACGUGUAUUUGGAAGAGGCGUUUUGGUUGAAGAUGCGUGGGAAAUAGCAAAGAGAUACUUGUCCUCUUACUUCUUAAUAGAUAUUCUUGCAGUUCUUCCUCUACCACAGGUUGCAAUUUUAAUUGUCAUUCCUAAAUUGCGGGGCGCUAAAUCUUUGAAUACAAAGACUUUGCUGAAAUUUGUCGUCUUCUUCCAAUAUAUUCCGAGGCUCCUUCGAGUAUACCCUUUAUAUAAGGAAGUCACUAGAACUUCUGGCAUACUCACUGAAACAGCAUGGGCUGGAGCUGCGUUUAAUCUCCUUCUUUAUAUGCUUGCCAG
rnacentral:misc_RNA from 1 species